rnacentral:rRNA from 1 species
GACGAACGCUGGCGGCGUGCUUAACACAUGCAAGUCGAGCGGUAAGGCCCUUUCGGGGUACGACGAGCGGCGAACGGGUGAGUAACACGUGGGUGACCUGCCUCUAGCUCUGGGAUAAGCCCGGGAAACUGGGUCUAAUACUGGAUAUGACUCCAUGACGCAUGUUGUGGGGUGGAAAGCCUUGUGCGGCUAGAGAUGGGCCCGCGGCCUAUCAGCUUGUUGGUGGGGUGANGGCCUACCAAGGCGACGACGGGUAGCCGGCCUGAGAGGGCGACCGGCCACACUGGGACUGAGACACGGCCCAGACUCCUACGGGAGGCAGCAGUGGGGAAUCUUGCGCAAUGGGCGAAAGCCUGACGCAGCGACGCCGCGUGA